rnacentral:rRNA from 1 species
GACGAACCACACAAACGUUAUUCGGAAUUACUGGGCUUAAAGGGUGCGUAGGCUGCGCAGAAAGUUGGGUGUGAAAUGCCUCGGCUCAACCGAGGAACUGCGCCCAAAACUACUGUGCUUGAGGGAGAUAGAGGUGAGCGGAACUUAGGGUGGAGCGGUGAAAUGCGUAGAUAUUCGGAAGAACACCAGUGGCGAAGGCGACUCACUGGACACGUAUUGACGCUGAGGUGCGAAAGCGUGGGGAGCAAACAGG